rnacentral:rRNA from 1 species
UAGUGGCGAACGGGUGAGUAACACGUGGGCAAUCUGCCCUGCACUCUGGGACAAGCCCUGGAAACGGGGUCUAAUACCGGAUAUGACCAUCUUGGGCAUCCUUGAUGGUGUAAAGCUCCGGCGGUGCAGGAUGAGCCCGCGGCCUAUCAGCUUGUUGGUGAGGUAACGGCUCACCAAGGCGACGACGGGUAGCCGGCCUGAGAGGGCGACCGGCCACACUGGGACUGAGACACGGCCCAGACUCCUACGGGAGGCAGCAGUGGGGAAUAUUGCACAAUGGGCGAAAGCCUGAUGCAGCGACGCCGCGUGAGGGAUGACGGCCUUCGGGUUGUAAACCUCUUUCAGCAGGGAAGAAGCGAAAGUGACGGUACCUGCAGAAGAAGCGCCGGCUAACUACGUGCCAGCAGCCGCGGUAAUACGUAGGGCGCGAGCGUUGUCCGGAAUUAUUGGGCGUAAAGAGCUCGUAGGCGGCUUGUCACGUCGGUUGUGAAAGCCCGGGGCUUAACCCCGGGUCUGCAGUCGAUACGGGCAGGCUAGAGUUCGGUAGGGGA